rnacentral:tRNA from 1 species
GGAAGAGAACGUUCCCCGGUGGGGCGGCCGGUCUUCAAAAUCGGCAGGGGCCGCCAUGCGGUCCCUGGUGGGUUCGACUCCCUCUCUCUUCCGCCA